rnacentral:miRNA from 1 species
AGAGUUGUGGAUGCUAUGAAU